rnacentral:rRNA from 1 species
AUUGAACGCUGGCGGCAGGCCUAACACAUGCAAGUCGAACGAGUGGCGGACGGGUGAGUAAUGUCUGGGAAACUGCCCGAUGGAGGGGGAUAACUACUGGAAACGGUAGCUAAUACCGCAUACCAUCGGAUGUGCCCAGAUGGGAUUAGCUUGUAGGUGAGGUAACGCCUCACCUAGGCGACGAUCCCUAGCUGGUCUGAGAGGAUGACCAGUCAAACGGGAACUGAGACACGGGCCAGACUCCUACGGGUGGCAGCAGUGGGUAAUAUGGCACAAUGGGCGCAAGCCUGAUGCACCCAUGCCGCGUGUAUGAAGAAGGCCUUCGGGUUGUAAAGUACUUUCAGCGGGGAGGCGUUACCCGCAUAAGAAGCCCCGGCUAACUCCGUGCCAGCCGCCUCGGUAAUUC